AUUGAACGCUGGCGGCAUGCCUUCCACAUGCAAGUCGAACGGUAACGCGGGGCAACCUGGCGACGAGUGGCGAACGGGUGAGUAAUAUAUCGGAACGUGCCCAGUAGUGGGGGAUAGCCCGGCGAAAGCCGGAUUAAUACCGCAUACGACCUAAGGGUGAAAGGGGGGGAUCGCAAGACCUCUCGCUAUUGGAGCGGCCGAUAUCAGAUUAGCUAGUUGGUGGGGGAAAAGCCUACCAAGGCGACGAUCUGUAGCUGGUCUGAGAGGACGACCAGCCAGAGUGGAACUGAGACACGGCCCAGACUCCUACGGGAGGCGGCAGUGGGGAAUUUUGGACAGUGGUCGAAAGGCUGAUCCAGCCAUGCCGCGUGCGGGAAGAAGGCCUUCGGGUUGUAAAGCGCUUUUGGCAGGGAAGAAAUGCCUUGGGAUAAUACCUCGGGGGGAUGACGGUACCUGAAGAAUAAGCACCGGCUAACUACGUGCCAGCAGCCGCAGUAACAC
rnacentral:rRNA from 1 species